GACGAACGCUGGCGGCGUGCUUAACACAUGCAAGUCGAACGGAAAGGCCCUGCUUGCAGGGUACUCGAGUGGCGAACGGGUGAGUAACACGUGGGUGAUCUGCCCUGCACUUCGGGAUAAGCCUGGGAAACUGGGUCUAAUACCGGAUAGGAGCCAUUUUUAGUGUGAUGGUUGGAAAGUUUUUUCGGUGUAGGAUGAGCUCGCGGCCUAUCAGCUUGUUGGUGGGGUAAUGGCCUACCAAGGCGGCGACGGGUAGCCGGCCUGAGAGGGUGGACGGCCACAUUGGGACUGAGAGACGGCCCAGACUUCUACGGGAGGCAGCAGUGGGGAAGAUUGCACAAGGGGCGCAAGCCUGAUGCAGCGACGCCGCGUGGGGGAUGACGGCCUUCGGGUUGUAAACUCCUUUCGCUAGGGACGAAGCUUUUUGUGACGGUACCUAGAUAAGAAGCACCGGCUAACUACGUG
rnacentral:rRNA from 1 species